UACGUAGGGUCCAAGCGUUGUCCGGAUUUAUUGGGCGUAAAGAGCUCGUAGGCGGCUCAGUAAGUCGGAUGUGAAAACUCGGGGCUCAACCCCGAGACGCCAUCCGAUACUGCUGUGGCUUGAGUCUGGUAGGGGAACACGGAAUUCCCGGUGUAGAGGUGAAAUUCGUAGAUAUCGGGAGGAACACCAGUGGCGAAGGCGGCGACCUGGGCCAAUAUUGACGCUGAGGUGCGAAAGCGUGGGGAGCAAACAGG
rnacentral:rRNA from 1 species